UACGGAGGGGGCUAGCGUUGUUCGGAAUUACUGGGCGUAAAGCGCACGUAGGCGGUCUUUUAAGUCAGAGGUGAAAGCCCGGGGCUCAACUCCGGAAUUGCCUUUGAAACUGGAAGACUUGAACACGGGAGAGGUGAGUGGAAUUCCGAGUGUAGAGGUGAAAUUCGUAGAUAUUCGGGGGAACACCAGUGGCGAAGGCGGCUCACUGGACCGUAGUUGACGCUGAGGUGCGAAAGCGUGGGGAGCAAAC
rnacentral:rRNA from 1 species